rnacentral:rRNA from 1 species
UACGUAGGGUGCGAGCGUUAAUCGGAAUUACUGGGCGUAAAGCGUGCGCAGGCGGUUAUUUAAGUCAGGUGUGAAAGCCCUGGGCUUAACCUAGGAAUUGCGCUUGAGACUGGAUAGCUUGGAGUGCGGCAGAGGGAGGUGGAAUUCCACGUGUAGCAGUGAAAUGCGUAGAGAUGUGGAGGAACACCGAUGGCGAAGGCAGCCUCCUGGGCCAGCACUGACGCUCAUGCACGAAAGCGUGGGGAGCAAACAGGG